GAUGAACGCUAGCGGCAGGCUUAACACAUGCAAGUCGAACGGUAACAGAAAAAGCUUGCUUUUUGCUGACGAGUGGCGAACGGGUGCGUAACGCGUAUGCAACCUACCUUCUUCAGAGGAAUAGCCCAGAGAAAUUUGGAUUAAUACCUCAUAAUAAUAUUUUUUCGCAUGAUAAUUUAUUUAAAGCUUCGGCGGAGGAAGAUGGGCAUGCGUAACAUUAGUUAGUUGGUGAGGUAACGGCUCACCAAGACUACGAUGUUUAGGGGGUCUGAGAGGAUGAUCCCCCACACUGGUACUGAGACACGGACCAGACUCCUACGGGAGGCAGCAGUGAGGAAUAUUGGUCAAUGGACGAAAGUCUGAACCAGCCAUGCCGCGUGAAGGAUGACUGCCCUAUGGGUUGUAAACUUCUUUUAUAUAGGAAGAAACCCCUCUACGUGUAGAGGGUUGACGGUACUAUACGAAUAAGCACCGGCUAACUCCGUGCCAGCCGCCGCCGUAACAC
rnacentral:rRNA from 1 species